AUUUCGCAAUACUAGUACAUCCGAAUUCUGCGGUCACACAGACGUGCGAAAUCGACACCAUGCUGACCGAAAAGCUAUUGUGUUCGUUGGAAUGGGAUCCUUGGUGUGACUGCAGCACAAUUGUGAUUCGCAGGUUCGCGAGCAUAUUGAUUCAAUGGACAAUGGAUAUCUAUGGGAACAUAUAUUUACAAGGUUACUCUGCUCUGUUGAUAAAAGGUUCGAUCAGUGUCUGUGCCUGCAGACUAACCGACGGAUGGACCGACGGAUGGAGAUAUGGAAGACCACAAGGGCCUGAAUGAAAAAUGAAAAGAAGCCAGGUGAUGAGGCCCCGAUGAAAACUUUCGUGUUUCGCCGUUUGAAUUAGUUUAGAUCAUCAAAUACCAGUGUAAGGAUUAUUUAAUAAUAGCGAUAAACGAAAUAUAUUUUGAUAUAUAACAGACAUCCAAUAUGAUUUUCUUUUGCGAAUAAUGACUCACCAAUUUAGGCCUUUAUAUUCAUCAAAACCACAAUAACUCCCGUUAUACAGGCAAGAUGCAUCCAUGAGGCAAAACUGUAAAAUGAAAUCGAAGCUCGUACCUCGAAACAUCGUCAUCAUCAUCUUCAUGUCAAAGUUUGUACAUAUCACUUUACACUUUUUAGAACAUAAUUUAUGUGCAUUUGGAAUUUCAUAUACUUGUUUCAGCUGGAUGCUGUAUAUAAGUCUCGAACCACUAAUAUGGAAAUUUCGACUGGCGCCCCCUGCAGGAGUGCGAUAAUAAGAACAUGGAGAUUCUAAGCAUCUCUGCACAGAAAGUGUAACUCAUCCUUAUCGAUUGCACAAUCAUCCAAAUAUGACAAUCGGCCCAGGACAGUUUGUUCGUAAACACCUUGCAGAUGACAACUCUUUAUCUUCGCGUGUCAAUCAUCAAUUUUGUGAGGCACUCAUAAGCCAAGUGAUAUCACCAAUCACAUUCAAUGAUACAUCCAAUUCACCAUCCAACCCUCAUUGUCAUGGGAUACCUCGCGUAGACAGUCUCACCCCGGCCUGACGAAAUUGACCAAAAAAUGCUCAUCUCGCUGUUGCCUGCAGGCUUCAAGUAUAUAUAUUUUUAAAUAAUAAUUUGUGCAGCAAUCAAUUAAGUAAUGUAAAGACGAUAACCAUGGCAACCGUCGUAUAAAUCGAAUGCGACAUAGGACAAUGACCCCCCCCCCCCUCAUUCUCUCUUUCUUCCUAUCUUCAAAUUGUUUCAACUUUGAUGUUAGUUAAACAUAUUGAAUGUUGUCAAGCGCUUGCCUAUUAUAGCAACAUCUUCCCAAAAGAAAUUAAGGUUAUCCUUCAUACACAAUCUAUCAUUACGGGUUUAUUCACCAUGCAAAACAUCCCGUCAACAAAUAAACCCUGAGCAGAAAAAUAAAAACAAAGUCCUUUUUUCUCGUGCAAGUUACUCGAUAUCGCGUUCACCGGGGUCUCGCUUAGUCUGCAGGCACAGACCCUGAUUGAAACUUUGAUCAACAAGCGUGUCUCCACGCAAAAUACUAGCACAUAUAGAACUUGCUGUUUCAAUUAAGUUCUGAGCGAGAGGACCUUCAGUACACAAGGCAGAGUAGGCUGCAAUUCAGACCCUUUACUCGAGUGAAGGGUUUGCACAGCAGACUGGGCCUCGCUCUACUCAGAUUGGUUAUUGUCAUGGGCUUCUACAAACCACGCCUUAAAACGUGUCAAACAGCUGAAUGCGGGGAGUUUGGCUGAUCGGGAGUCUCGGUGUCUUUUCGAGUUUUCCCUCGCACUGCACUGGAUCCAGAUGAAGGUUUUCAGUGCCUCGGUUCAGAUGUCGGUAGUGUUAGCUCGGUCCUGGAUAUAUUAUUCAGUUAUGAUACGAUAUGAUAUGAGGCCCUGAAUCUUUAUCUUCAGCCUGUGUAAGCCGGGAUAUAGUUCUUGACAAAUUAGGAUCUCCUUCACCACGACUCCCAGGAAUUUAUGUAGAGUACUAUCUAAUAUGGAAUCAUUCAUUACGUGUUUCAUCUGUAUCUAAUACAUGCAGCUUGGUGAAUUUCGCAAAAAUUAUUUUUAUCAUAAAUGGCCGUCGGAGAAUAACGCAACCACGUGCAAACUACGUUUAGAGUUACUGUAUUCGACAGCUUUUAGUGGAGCAAAAUACAAGAUAAACAACCCCGGAUUAACAGGGAAAAGUGGUGCUUGGAUCAGAUGCUUGUCCCCACAGCCUGCAUGUCGACCAAACUCCUGAAAUGGUCCACUGAGUUCGAGCAGUUUCCUCAUUGGUCUAAUUGUACCAGGGAAAAGUGGUAUCUGCACCAGAUGCUUGCCUUCACAGGCUGUCGACCAAGCUCCUUAAAUGGUCCUGGAGUUUCGAGCAGUUUCCUCAUUGGUUUAAACGAAACAGGGAAAUGUAUGCCAACCAAAUCAUGCAGAUAUAAGCGUCCAUACCGCAAACCAACCAAGCUCCUCAAAUUGUCCAGGACGUACUAGAGUUUUCUGUUGGGUUAUGAACUCCGAGAAAAUGGCGUCUGCAAUAGAUGUCUCAAGAGAUCGCCUGCCGACCUAGCUCCUCAAAUCGUCUGGGAAGUUUAAGAAAUUUCCACAUUAACUUUGCGGAUACAUUCAGGGAGGGCUACAAGACAAUGUAAGAAGGAAUGACGCUUCGGGCUUCAGUUGCAAAUAAAGCCUGAACUACGAGAAAACAAAUCUCGGAGAUAGGAAUAAGGAUGAAUCUUAGCUCUGCAAUUGGCAGUUGCAGAAAGAUCAGAAUGACUAAAGAAAGAAAGGUUUUGUGUAAUGCUACGUAUAGAUCCAGGAGAAGAACACUGCACUAGGGUCGGAUAUAGGAAAGAGAAUCCUUCUGUUAUGGAGAAGUUUAUCUCAGUGCUUCUGUCUACAAUUAUUGUUUUCGGAUAGACCGAAAGGAUUAGAAAAUAAAAUGUUACAUGAAGAGAUAGUAAUUUCACGAGAUUUAUAGAGACUUUGCAAACGAGAUGACCAUUAGAUAAAGUUCCAGCUGUUCGUGCUGAUAGAUGCAGAAGGGCCAGAAUAGGAUACUAUGUGGGUAGCUUGUAAUAGCUGGAUCUGAACUAUACGUGCACAUCUAUAGGAUAUUAUGUUCAGAUGAUCGCGGCAAGAUAGUUAUCAUGGAGGUUCUUUUCAUAAGUAUGCAAAAUAACAACGAGAUGAUUGGCUACUACAUUCAGAAACGAAUUCCUUUUUCAAUGAUCCCAAAGAGCAAACACAUCAAACUCGCCACUGUCAUCUACUCAUGAUGUACAUGCACAUCUUCCACCUACGUCACGGGAAGAAAGAUCCAUACUGGGUACUUCUAAGGAUUUAACAAAGAAGAUAAUAGGGACUCCUCCCGUCGUGACUAACGACGGAUUCAAGAACAUAUAAAAUAUAUAUUCUUAAAUGCCCUUCAUGACAAAUCACAACCAAGAAGCUUUUGUCGAAAAUCGGUGAAUCAAAACAGCAGUUUUGUCCUGGAUUACGAUUGCGAUUUUUCGUCAGCUCCGAAAAACGUAGAGGACGUUCCGUUUCACCAAUUUUCGUCAAAGACCACCCAUCUGUUCUUUUUCAUUCGACAAGCAUUUUCACUAUAUUAUCUGUGUUCUUGAAUCAGUCCCCGUUGCAGUUGCGAGAAUUCCCUAAUGCCAAAUCAUGGACUGAACCAAUGGGUAAAAACCGGUAUAAACUGAUUUGCAUGUACAGUUUAUAUAAACUAAAAAGGUAUUUCAAAUAGUAACCAUCUUUAUUUCGAAUAAGAAACAUUGGUUCGGAAGUUGGACUCACAGAUAGAAUUUGCAAUAUCAUCAAUUUGCAAGUUCCCGUCCAAUUUUAAGUUUUUUUUUCUUUCUGAAAUUAUCAAUAUUUCUUGCAAUCUGUAUAGGGUAGUUGUCAGGGGUGUAGAUUUGUGACGUAACGCUUUUUCGAAGAAGAGGAAGACAUGAUCAAUCAUCUUUAUGAACCAAUUCGAUGUUGAUAUAUGACAGUGCUUACUGUUAAUAAAUUCAUGUAGGCCUACCUACAACUCGUAAA